GACGCCUCCUCCCGAGUCCUGCUCGCUGCAAAGCCCCCGGGGAAGGAGGAGCGGGAGCCUGGUGCACAGGGAAGGGGGCUGCGCGCUCCCCGGGCUGCUGCAACGACACCCCAGCUGCCCCCAUGCUGCGGUGUGUGCAGCGGGGUGCAUGCUUCAUUGCUGCGUGCAUGUCGGAUGCAUAAUUCAUAAACUGCAGCAAUCCCCCCCCCGGUUUGCAUGGCUGCUAUUUCCGUGCUUAAUUGGAUGAACUAUUCACCCCACCCUUCGCAAGCCCCAGCUUGCUUCAUUUGCGGCAGCGAACUCCCUGUAGGCUAGGUGCAUGCUUUGUGCUUGGAUCCCCCGCCCCGCCCGGGUACUCUGGAAGCUGUGCAAAAUGGGGCGGCGAGGUAUUCACACUUCCUGCGCUCUCUGUAGUGACACUCUCCCCACUUCCUUAUUUGCAGGCUGCGUACGAGGUUGGGGCUUCAUGUACAGGAACAUGGGUGACAGAGGCUGCAGUUUCCCUCAAGCGGCAUUAAAAACUCCUCGGAUCUCGGAUUAGCAAGAAGAGGCCACUCCAGCCACGUGGUGAGCCGGGAGGGUUCAGGUGGUGACAAUAAGGGUGAUGCAGGGCGCUACACAGCCAGUCUAAGCGAGGCAGAUGUGUCACAGCAGACGGGACCCGUAGCCCCAGCUGACCCAGAGAGGAUUAACUGGCCUGGCAAACCCAGUCUGGAAACCGGCACACCUAGACGGAGCAUGGAGCCAGCCAGACUUUGACAAUAGACUGGGAUCUCCUGGCCUGGGGAAACACCCUCAACAAACAGCAGAGGAACACUGGAUCAAUACAGACAAGGUGUCACCUGUCCUUGGAGUCUCUCAGCGAAAAGUGCUUGGUAAGCAUGUUAAUGUAGUCUCACAACAUCCCCUUGGGAAGGUGAGUUGCAUUGGGCUGGCUGGGACGUCACGAAACAGAGACAUUCCGUGAGCUGUGUGGUUAUUAAAGAUCCCAUGAUGCAUCGCAUCAGGGUAGCAGUUGAGCCAAGGCUCAGAUUUUGCAGUGUGUUGUCCACGGGCUGCCUCCUGGCAGGCACGCUCCACCCUAGAGGGGGUGCAUGUCGGUGGUGGGGGACGGGUGGUGUUACUCAGCUUGGCCACAGUCUUAAGGGCCUAAGCACCUUCUGCUCCCUGCUGUGAGCAGCACCGUACAGGAUUGGGCCCGUGGAGUGAGCUGGUUCCGUCACAUUUGUUCCCUUCCACCUAGGGCACAGAGGCCAACUUUGGAGCACGGCAGAGGCACCUCAGCGCGGUGCACCUCACAGGCACCUCAGUGUGCUCUCCCCCACCCAAGCCAGAUGGGAGGCUGGGAAUUCCUAUCACAGGCUGUGGCACAGCCCUUGCCGACACCCCAGCUGGCACCUCCCAGACACGUUCCUGCUCAGGCCCGGAGGUUAGCUGCCAGGAGAGCAGAAGGCAGAGCCCUCAGAGGAGGAGAGCUUUGCACCAGCAAAGGGUGUGAGCAAGUGGUGAGUAUGACACACCAGGCUGGAGGGGCUUCUGAGUCUAGUCUCUCUGCAGGCUGGGAUCCCUCGCCUGCCCUGGAACGAGGACACAGCCCCGUCCCACAGGAGGGAAGGAGCUCGAAGGUGUAAAACAGCACCUGUGCUGAUGGGGUUCGGGGAAUGACGAUGGCCCUUGGCCCUUCUCCAGCACCAUCCUUCCACGGCUCUCAGAGCGUCGCACCAACAAGAAUGAAUCAGCCCCAGGGCUGGGUCAUAGUGAUGGCCCCAUUCGACAUGGGGCCACCUGAGCCCAGAGAGGGGAUGUGACUUACAUGAAGUCACCUCACGAGUCAGUAGCGGAGCCAGGAACAGAACCCAGGAGUCCGGACGCCCGUGGCUUAAAAUGGUCCAAAAAAAGUCGGGGGGGGGGAAGAAUCAUUGUCUACGGGAAGGGAAGUGACAUUAAGUCAGAGAUGCCCAAUAACUGCAAAUAACGGCACUUAGACGUGUCAGCUCUUCCUUUGGAGCCCAAGGACUGAGGGGGCUCAGCGCCCACCUUUGGGGCCAGGAUUUUGGGUGAGCCGGCAGCUCCUGUGGCAUCACUUAGGGCCUCCUCUUUGAAAAGCCUGGCCCAGGCCUCAGCAGACAAGAGUCCCUCCAUGUUUGAACUUUAAUCGACCUAAAAGGCCAGGUGUAACAGCCGUUAUCA